AACAUCUCCACCGCUGGAUUAUUUUCUAAUCCCCUCUAGCUUAUUCUCUCUCAUCUUCUCCCCCAAUCCUCAUUGCUGCCGCCCUCCUCUUCCUCCUGGCCACUGUGCCGCCGGCAUGCCCCUCCUCUCCCUCUCAAAUUGGCUGGCGAUGGGGAGGACCUCUCCCUCCUAAGCCGGCUGGAGGCACGGAGGAGCAGCUGCACGCGGCCCUCUCCCUCCCGAGGUGGCUGGGGGCGCGGAAGAGGAGCAGCACGCGACCCUCUCCCUUCGGAGACCUAUGGCGACGCGGAGGAGGAGUUGGCCCCCCUCCUCUCCCUCCCUCCCGAGGUGGAUGGCGGCAUGGAGGAGGAUCAGGACCUCCUCCUCUCCCUCCCUCUCGAGGUGGAUGGCAGCGCAGAGGAGGAGUUGGACCCCCUUCUCUCCCUCCCGCCCAAGGCGGCUCGCUCGCCGACGAGCUGGAGAAGAAUGGGCAGCUCGGCCCGCCCCUGCGAUGGGUGACUCGCUCCCAAGUCAUCGUCCGUGAGAUGGAGGCGCCUCCACAUUUUCUUCAUCGUGUUCGUUGCCUACGGAUGCACUGCGGCGCCAGUUUUGGCCCUGCGGCCGGCACGCCGUGUCACCGCCUAUUGGGCCACGAAGCCAUGCCAGACAGCAAGGUGGUUCGCCCUGGUUUAUCUGUGCCGUCAUAUCUCCGCCGGCGUGCUACUUCACUCGAUGGCGGCGCUGCAUGGACCUUAUUCUUCGCUCCAUAGCGUCAUAAUCGCUUCUGGCAGUCUGCAGUCAUAUGAGUGUGCGUGGUGGUGGUCGCCUCCUUCUGUGUCACCUCCUCCACCGUCACGAUUCACAAGAUGUUGAUGUUGCCGUGUCUCACGUUCGUGAUGUCCAGCCCUUCCAGAAGUGCCUGUUCAGCAUGAUACGCCUCCAGGUUGUGGGCGAGGCCAUGGUCGUUUUGUUCAGUUUGUAGCUCCUCAUGUCCCGCCUGCGAUUGAGGUGCCUUUGCAUACAUAGGUCUCCUCGCCAUCGGAGGCCACCGCGCCACAUUUUCUGUCAUGGACUACGGUGAGUUGCUCCAACUCCAGCCCUUACAGGUUGUCAAUAGUUGCUUUGAGCGGGGAAAAUAGGGGCCAAAGAUGGGAAUUUAAUUUUGAUCUUGUGCUGGGAGGAAGUAUAUAUUCAGAUUUAGGUGAAUGCCAGAGCCUUUAGAUUUUGUCGGUAUGAAUUGAAAUGUUAUCAUUGUACAUGUUCGGGGUUGGAAUAUUACUGGUUGACUUUGUGAUAUAAUGAGAGAUCACAUUGGUGGUGUGACCAAAUGUUGGUUGAACAAAGAGAUGGCAGUGUGCACUAGGUGUUACUAUUGUUAGAUCAUCAUUUCUUGCUUUCUAGAUGUAGAAUGGAACUUAUGUGCUGCAUGUUUUUGACAUGCACCUCAUUGUGUUAUUGGUCUGUUGGAUUAGGCAUUGCCAAUAUUUCUACUUCUUCAUUCCAUGAUUCAGACAAGUUAAUAUGAUGCUGGUUGGCUAUAGUUUAGACUCUUUUUAUUGGUUGGCAGGUCGAUAUCAUUCGGAUUGAGUUCGUAUGUUUCUUUUGAUUUUGGAGGCAUAGCUGCAAGUAUGCACACUGUUAAGAGUUAGAGCAAUUUGUCGAUCUGCAAUCUAAUUGGCUGGCCUGACCUUUUGGUAAAUUGACAGUACUCAAUUGUCCGCCUCCGUAUUUACAUAAACUACUUGGAUUCAUAUAUCCAAUGGUGUUGGGAGUUGUAAGGAGAUUCUUGUAUUUCGAAUAUUUAUUUGGAACUGAAAGUUUGUUUUUAUAAUACAAGAAAUGGAGUUACAUGCUCCUCCAGAAAUAGAGUUUAUGCUUCUUCAAAGUGUUUACCCAUAAGUAAUUGGUUGCAAGCAUGAACAAGAAUUUGUAUGGGCGUUAUAAUGCAUAUUAGAGUUAUUUUGUAAUAAAUCAGGUCAUUAUUUGUCUUGAAUGAAAAUAUUUCUUAUUUCAGAUUCAUCUUAUAACUCAAAGGUACUGUCUUUUGGCAUGUUCAGUCAUCCUGAUUACAAAAUUUUCGCAUCUGAGGCUGAUUUGGUAUUAUCUUCCUAUUAUGCAAAGAUUCCUUGUGUGUAUUACAUAAUGUUUUUCAAAGUGGUGUGAUCAUCCGGUAAGAGUAACAACUGAAUUUAUGUUCUCAAGGUAUUCUUUCAUUGUUGUGUUCUUACUACUGUUUUCCAAUACUCCUCUAAGGAAAUUUCUGUUUGAAAAAAAAUGAUUUUUUUGUUCCAGCUGUUUUUUUAAUGGCAACAUGUAAGUAAAUACUAAAUACUACACAUCAUUUCCAUUUUUAUUUAUUUUAGAAACAAACAACUAUUUGGGAAAUGUACAUGGACAUGAAUAGUAAGUUAACAGUGUGAUACCAUUCAGCUGUAAUUAAGUCAUCUCUUAUUUUGCAUGUGUUAGACCAAGCUGCAUGUAAUGUUUUCUGUUUAGAAACUGCAGAUGUAUGAUCGGGUCAUCUAGAUAGGUAUUGCAGAUAUAGAUUUAGUUUUGUAAUAACUUAUUUGAUCUUGCCUUCCUAUUAUAAUUUUUUUCUCUGUCCAGCAAGAUUAAAAGUGACAUGAACAUUCUCCCCGCAGUUUAGUCUGCAGAAUAACAUAGACUGCGAGGAAUAUAUAGCUUGGGAGUUUUGAAGCCAAUGAAAAGGGGAUGACACAUGGUUUAAAUACUAAGAUACAUAUAUCUUGAGGGAAAUCGAUUAUUUAGUUACACAUGCUACCUCUUCUACCUGAAAAUGUACUUCUCAAAGUCAAAGGUUUAUAGUUCUUCUGCUUAGCAUAAACAUGGCUAGGAUCUUGUGAUCGUUUCAUUUUCUAUCUAUUUUCUAUAAAUGAUCUCGACUUUGCGGUUGUCGUUAGAUGGCAUAGCGAGGCCGAGGUCGACACUCAACACCUAAGAGACACAAGUUUCCAUACCAGUUCAUUUGCAUUCCUCCCUCUUCGUCGUUUCACAAUCGGUUUGUCUGGUACAUUGGAAUAAUGCUAUAUUAAUUUCAUUUUCAUUUCUGGUAGGCAAUUCUACAAGCACACGUAGGCACAAACUUUGAUGGUAUUGACCUGAAUCUUUACCAGCAAUCUUUAUCAUCCCACGACAACAUGAAGCCAGACUACUAAGCUCCACGGCGACAUGAACCGAAGUUGUUGAACAAUUUUUUGAUCAUUGGGAGACAACAUGAAGCUACACUACUGAGCGUGAACCUAACAAUUCUCAGUACUGCCAGGCAUUUGCUAGGCAGCCACGGAAAGUUUGGAGUCUAAUGACCCAACUGGACACAUCAGAUUUUAGUAACAAGAUAUGCCCAUCAUUUUCACAAAAUAAGGUAUGUCCAAUUUCCAUUCAUGCCACUAUUAGUAACAAAUCAGUAGUAACCUAGAGGACACAAAUGCUAAAAUUCAAGAAAGCUAAUGGGUCAGUCACAUCAAGAUGAUUGCAGUACAAUAUUGGUGGUGUGCAUUAUGCAAACAUGGAUUAAUAUAGAAGAAGCAAGUUUAUUGUCGUACAGAUUAUUUUUUAUAAGUACAUCAUAACACAAACCUGUCUUUCAAUAGGGUUAGAUACACUUGGAACUUCUGACUGUCUUUCUGAUACUAGCAUAAGUAUUUAGGACUGGUAACUUUGUUGGGGUUUUUUUAUUGUUGGAUUGUUAUUUUCUGUUCUCUAAGUUAAAUAUUUUGAAAAAAGGUACAAGAAAUUUAUGCAUUGAUACAACAUGAGCAUGACCAAUAGAUGCAUGUAUAGAUGGAAUGGUAAGGAGUGUUUGUACCAUUUAGACAAGAUUAUUUUUGAUCUUGCUUACGUACAAUAAGCUUGGUUGAGUAAUCUUGAUUUUUUCAGUCGAAUUUGAAUGAAUGGAAGAGUUAUCAAUUGACAAGCCUGGCCAAGCUAAUGAAAAUGUUGCAAUACUUGGGUUAUUGGUUUCACGGAAAUAGUUGAUUGGCAAUACACAAAGCACAAGUAAAGCAUCAGUAAAUGAGAUCUUUUCCUCUAUACCGGCAUACAUAAAAGUUGAACUUUGUGGCCAACUCUUAAACUAAUUUGCAUCACUGAUUCACGGCUGGGUUUCGUCGUUUCUCAUACUCUCUUGGUCAUACAGCGUUGGCUGCAUCUUAGAGAGGGUAGCUGGAGGUAUUUUCAACUUGGUAGCAACAGCCCGCAUAGGCAAUCAGCCUUGAUGUAAUGGAUGGGGACGGUUGCACCGACCUGGAGACAGGAAAAGGUAUAUAUCAAGAAGUACUGGAGAUAGGAAAAGGAGGCAUUUGGGCAUGCUGAUGCAAUUUUCUAGGGAAUGCAUAGAACAAAGAUUGAUAAUUUGGAAUCCAUUGCUGGAGCGGGGAUCAUGCUCAGGAAAUCAGUCGCAGAUUGCUGCAAAUGACAGUUGCAAACGUGCGGUGCUUAAGCUACCUACGGCAGCUGGUGUAUUUCCAGACAUGAUCUAUUCAGCUUAGAUUAGAUAACUGCUACACUAUAUGUGUUUUUUAAUAACAGUUGAUUCCAUGUUAUGCCAUCGUCAAUAGUUUUCUCAAUAGUUUUCUUUUUGUACAUCGUGUUGCCAUGUGUGGCUGUAACCAAUGUAGUGAAGACUAUCCUUUGUCUCAUAUAUCCUUAAUUAUUUCUAA